CUAAUUAUUGUGUAUUUUUACUCAGAGUUUCACUGUAUUUAGGUUGGUUUUACACUGUAUUUAAGUGAUUCUUCCACUGUAUUAAUAUGCCCCCAUUACUCUAUAAUUCCCCUGAUUGCUGCCUUUCAAUGUAUUAUUUGUUGUGAGAUUUCCCUUGUAAUUGAGCCCCAUUACCCUAUAAUUUUCAGCUUUCUUUUAUUUUCUUUCGUGUGUCAUGUAUUAUGUUUUGUUAGGUUUAGGUCAAUGGGGAGACUACGGGAAGUCUCUCGCAAUGAUGUUUUGGUAGUUUCUUCUAUUGAGAGGGCUGAUUCUUUGAAUGAUCCUUUUGUGCCUAAUGACUUUGUGGAAGAUGGUUCUAAUGCUAUGUCUUUGGUAGUUAUUUUUGUCUUGUUCUCUACUUUCAUUUUCGUUUUUAUUCUUUCUUUCAGUUUAUUAAAAUUUCUGUUUGUUGACUGAAUUAUUUUUUAGGAUCUUUCUAGUGAUGAUAGGGGUUUUGAUAAAACUAUUUUCAAUUUCUAUGUGAAUCAUGUGAGUCUUUCUGAUCUAGUUACAACUAAUGACUUAUCUUUUUUAUUCACAAGAAUUACAAUGUAAUUUAGCCUAAAAUUACAGUGUAGUAUGCCCCUAGUAUUACAGUGUAAUGUAUCCAAAAAUUUCAUUGCAAUCCCCAUGCUUCCUUUAUGUAAUUGCAGUGUAAUAUACCCUAGAAUUGCAGUGUAAUUUAGCCCAGGUUUUAGUGUAGUCCCAAUGCUUCAUUUUUUUAAAUGACAGUGUAAUUUUCCCGGAAUUACAGUGUAAUUUUCCUAGAAUUACAGUGUAAACUCCAUGCUUCAUUUAUGUAAUUACAGUGUAAUUUUCCCCAUAAUUACAGUGUAAACUUCAUGCUUUAUUUAUGUAAUUGUAGUGUAAUUAUUCCCCGAAUUGCAGUGUAAAUUUUCCUAGAAAUUCAGUGUAAUUUUUCUUCUUCUAAACAAAGUAGUGUAAUUUUCCCGAUGAACCUCUGUAUUAUUUGAUAUUUGGGCUUCAUUCUUGUUCAGAUUUGCUUGAAUUACAGUGGAUUUUAACUCUGCUUUGUGUGAUUAUCCUUGUGUAGUCUCUUGGUUAUUAUCAUUGUAAUCCACUAGUGUGAUUAUUCAUUUCCUUCACUGUCCAUGUGUACCAGCACUGUAACAAACUCUACUUUUGAUUGUCAAUAUUAAUGCAUUCAUCUGAUAGGACUUGUGUUCUUUAUGCUGAUAGGUCUGUCUCUGUAUUCAUGACUUCAUAUGAACUUGCAUGUAUCUCUGUACUUAUUCUGUUCAGCUUUUGCUUGAUUUUCCGGUGGAUUUUAACUCUUUGAAUUACAGUGUAAUACCUCUUAAUUUCUCUGUAAUUUCCACUAUAUUUGUAGUGUAAUAUUCCCCAGGAUUACAUUGUAAUAUACAUACCCCAAAUUUAUAUUGUAAUAUCCCCCAGAAUCACAUUGUAAUUCUGAAUUGUAUUAAAUAAUGCUGGAAUACGGUGUAAUAUUCCCCCAGUUUGCAUUGUAUGUCAUGUAGGUAUUACACUGGAAUUCAUCUCAUUUUUCCAUGAAUGUCAUGAGUUGUCUAACUCUGUAAUUUCCCCUGAGUUCAUGUUAGCUACAUUGCCAUGUAUCGCAGCAAAGAUUUUUUCAUGUGUACUACAACACAACUUUUUUCAUGUAAUUUCCUCAUGGUUCAUGUUACCUACAUUGCCCUAUACUGCAGCAAAGUUUUUUUUUCAUGUGUACGUUACACUGGAAUUCAUGUUGGUGUAGUGUUUUGACAGUGGAAUAUUAACAGUUUUAACUUCCGACAGUUAGAAUUUUCCCCCUGACGAUUCCAAAAUUCUCACUAGAUUGUAUGAUGGUUUUUUUGCAGGCUAGUUCAUGUAGCAGGUGUAUGUAGAGCAGCAGGGUGAGGAAAAACAUGGAAGAGUUCAAUAGAAGUGUGAUCAAAAGGAGUAGGACAUUUCGUGAGCUGUGGACCGUCUCUUGGAUGAUCUUCCUUUUUCCACCACCAAUUAUUCAGAUCUGUUCUUCCCCCUUGCUUCUCUCCAGGUACUUGCCCCUCUGAUGUGCCUCUCUGACUUGUUUUUGUUCUUCCUUCUUCUCACUCCCUCUCUCCCAUGACGUCUCUCGGAUGUUUUUCUACUCUUUCUUCUCAUUUCCCCUCUCCCAUGGGCCAUGGCGCCUCCCAGAUGACCUGUGUGAUGCAAGUUAAAGGAGGGUCCUGGGAGACGCCAGUAUUCUGAUGAUUUUUGUUCCUUUUCUUUGUCAGGUGAUUUGUUGUCCAGGAAAGAAAAAAAGAGCGUGGGCAACGGUCCAGGAGGGUUUGGUGAUAGUUGCCUUGUUUUGUUUCGGUUAUUAGUUAGAACUGGGUCAGAUUUUAGCCACACGACCCCUUUUUUGGAAAUACAAGCAUACAAUUGUCCAUGGUAUUUGGACAUAGGUGUCAGCACUUGAUUUAUCAGGAAAUUUGACUAUAAUAUAGUGCUUUUUACCUUUGUAUUGGUUCUUCGUUAUUUAACAUGUUUACCCCCGACCCGGGUUUGAUGUUUACCCCCGACCUGUUUAGGCGUUCUUUUUUGCUUUCUGUUGAUUUUUCUGCUCAUACAGGUGUAAUGUGUUGAUUGGUCAAAAAAUUUGACUGUUUU
rnacentral:lncRNA from 1 species